ensembl:lncRNA
UUUCGGUUUAUUACCACUGGUUUAUUGUUGGUGUGACUUAGACUGGCUGUAUUUAUUUUGUUUUAUUUUAAUGUUUCCUUCAGACUUUGACUGGAAACAGCGAUUAACUCAUGGUAAUAAACUUUAUUGCUAGCUGAAUGAAUAAUGAACUGAAGCAGGACCCACUAAUGUGUUUAUUGCUGGUCAAAUGCUGCCUGAACUGUACACCUGUUGUUCAUAAUAACAUACAAUUAAUACUAAACAAACUCAGGUUUCAAGCUAACUGCUCCAUUGUCUCCCGCUUGAACACACCUCACUUUUAUCACCCAACAUGGUGGACAGCACUGGACCGGAAACUGCACUCACUUCCCUUGUCUUAAAGUAACACUACACUCUUACGGCUUCAUGUCCGUGUUCGUCCAGUUCGUCCUCAUCAAGCAGUGCUGUGCUGACUGUGUGAGAUGCUGAUUGAAAGAGAAUAAAUAAAUGAAAACUGUAGAGCAAAUAUUUAUUUACUUGUAAUGACCCUGCCCUCGGUCUCGAGUCCCCAGACGUCACAGCCGUCCCCGAAGCACUGCCCCGACACAUCUGUUCCCGGUUUCCCCGUUCUCCCCCCCCCCCCCCCCUUACCUCCUCCCCUGCGCUAUUGUGAAUAAAGAGUGGCGUUAGCCAAACACCUCCCUGGGUUCGCCUCCGUCUGUUGCAGGAUAUGUCACAAUCCUGGAGCACUAUGAAAGCAGAGAGGGUUCCUAAGGAGUACUGAAAAGCUCAUACAACAUCAUCAGCUGGUGUCUAGCCUUUUGGAGGCACUGAUGUUGCCGUCGAAGAUAGCAGUAGUAAAGUGCCAGGCACACACAAAAAGAAAGGACUCUGCGAGAAAAGGAAAUGAGAAGGCGGAUUGGUGGGCAAAGCAUGUGGCCUUGAGCCCUGAGGCGCCUAUGGUGUCAUUGUUUCUAGUCUCUACCCCUAACCCAGGUGUUUCUUUGCUACAAACAGGUGCCACAGAAAGGGGAAAGGCGAGAUGGUUUCAUGUGGGGGCCCAGAAGACAAAAGAUGGUGUGAUUGUCUCUACUAACGGUAAACCUUUUCUCCCCAGGAGGACGUUCCCUGGAGUGGCAAAGAUUGCACACGGCCUGGAUCACGCUUCUCGCAACACCAUGGUGACUACCAUCUCCCAGUACUGGUGCAUCAGCAGGUGCGACAGAACCAGUGAACCCCUAACCGGGAAGACACGCUAGAGCUGCUCCCAGGCGAUUGGGUUCUCAUCCGUGACCUGUGAAAGAAACAUUGGAAGCAGCCCCGGUGGAGAGGCCCUCAUCAAGUUCUUCUGUCCACACCCCACGCUGUGAAAAUAGAAGGCAUUGACUUGUGGACUCACAUCACCUACUGCUGUAAAAUAGCUGAUCCCACGCAGGCACAACAGCAACAUGAGUGAUUCAAGGACACCCUAGCACCCUUUCUGAAGGGCAGGACUGUGUGGAAUGAGAGGAACUUUCAAAAAACAAACACAAUUAGCAUUAGUGAUUGUGUUGCUUAUUGUAUUACUGUUUGAGAAGUCUACUGAGAAAGAGAGAGGUAACCUAAUUGAAACCUCUGUUACAGGCCGUAAGAGAUCUGUGGAAAAUCUGCAUGAGAAAGGCCUACAUGGUAUUAACAUAUUUUUAGAACUGAGCUGUAAAUGAGUCUUGGUGUUGGGUGUGUUCCCACAUUCCACACACUGUUUCAACCAGACUCCCACUAAACCCUGUUCCUUGGGCCCUACCUGAGGUAUUCUUGUGGUGGGAUACUUACUUCACUAAGCUUCUGUCCGGAACCUCUACUAGGCCAUCAUGGGAAACAGCGGGAUACAACUUCUCGGGUCAUAAAUUCGAUGAACUGUCAUUCCUCUGAAAUUUCACCAAAUGAAAUAACACCCACGAAAAGGUCCCAACCACCAUGGCAUCCUGAUAGCUCUGCUCAGAGAGUCAAAAGGACCAUCACGUGUGACAUAGCUGGUAUUGGUAUCACUGCCCAGUGCUUGCUAUUGGCCUGUCCUCCACGAGUUCGCCUUGUGGUAACAGUCCAUGGGCCAAACACGUCAAUACCCACAUAGGUGAAUGGUGGCUCUGUGCUCAGGCGAUCAGGCGGUAAGUCUGCCAUCUUCUGUGCAGUCAUUCUUCCACGAAGCUUGCUACACAUGAUACAUUUAUGUACGAUAUUGUUGAUGCACUUCCUGGCUCCGAUAAUCCAAAAUCCUGC